CCUACGUGCGGCAGCAGUGGGGAAUAUUGGACAAUGGGGGGAACCCUGAUCCAGCGACGCCGCGUGAGUGAAGAAGUAUUUCGGUAUGUAAAGCUCUAUCAGCAGGGAAGAAAAUGACGGUACCUGACUAAGAAGCCCCGGCUAACUACGUGCCAGCAGCCGCGGUAAUACGUAGGGGGCAAGCGUUAUCCGGAUUUACUGGGUGUAAAGGGAGCGUAGACGGUGCAGCAAGUCUGAUGUGAAAGGUCGGGGCUCAACCCCGGGACUGCAGUGGAAACUGUUGAACUGGAGUACAGGAGAGGUAAGCGGAAGUCCUAGUGUAGCGGUGAAAUGCGUAGAUAUUAGGAGGAACACCAGUGGCGAAGGCGGCUUGCUGGACUGUAACUGACGUUGAGGCUCGAAAGCGUGGGGAGCAAACAGGAUUAGAUACCCCAGUAGUC
rnacentral:rRNA from 1 species